rnacentral:rRNA from 1 species
AACGAACGCUGGCGGCAUGCCUAACACAUGCAAGUCGAACGAAGCCUUCGGGCUUAGUGGCGCACGGGUGCGUAACGCGUGGGAAUCUGCCCUUGGGUUCGGAAUAACAGUUAGAAAUGACUGCUAAUACCGAAUGAUGUCUUCGGACCAAAGAUUUAUCGCCCAAGGAUGAGCCCGCGUCGGAUUAGCUAGUUGGUGAGGUAAAGGCUCACCAAGGCGACGAUCCGUAGCUGGUCUGAGAGGAUGAUCAGCCACACUGGGACUGAGACACGGCCCAGACUCCUACGGGAGGCAGCAGUGGGGAAUAUUGGACAAUGGGCGAAAGCCUGAUCCAGCAAUGCCGCGUGAGUGAUGAAGGCCUUAGGGUUGUAAAGCUCUUUUACCAGGGACGAUGAUGACGGUACCUGGAGGAUAAGCCCCGGCUAACUUCGUGCCAGCAGCCGCGGUAAU